GGAUUGUGGCUCAGUGGUAGAGCGCUCGUCUAGCACAUGCGAGGCCCUGGGUUUGAUCCUCAGCACCA
rnacentral:tRNA from 1 species